rnacentral:rRNA from 1 species
CGGGUGAGUAACACGUGAGCAAUCUGCCCUUCACAUCGGGAUAACCCCCGGAAACGGGAGCUAAUACCGGAUACGACCACUUCAGGCAUCUGAUGGUGGUGGAAAGUUCUGGCGGUGAAGGAUGAGCUCGCGGCCUAUCAGCUUGUUGGUGGGGUAAUGGCCCACCAAGGCUUCGACGGGUAGCCGGCCUGAGAGGGUGACCGGCCACACUGGGACUGAGACACGGCCCAG